rnacentral:rRNA from 1 species
UACAGAGGGUGCGAGCGUUAAUCGGAAUUACUGGGCGUAAAGCGCACGUAGGUGGCGACGUAAGUCGGGUGUGAAAGCCCCGGGCUCAACCUGGGAAUUGCAUUCGAGACUGCAUUGCUGGAGUACGGAAGAGGAAGGCGGAAUUCCCGGUGUAGCGGUGAAAUGCGUAGAUAUCGGGAGGAACAUCAGUGGCGAAGGCGGCUCGCUGGGCCAGUUCUGACACUCAUCCGCGAAGGCGUGGGGAGCAAACAGG